rnacentral:lncRNA from 1 species
AGCAGCAAAUGUUAAGUAAACGAGUCGCCUCAAAAUGAAUGGUUGAAAAUAAAAAUUUCAUAAAAAACAGUGGUCAGAGACUCAAAUUUCAAAUCGAAAGUAUUGGUCUUGCUAUUGAUAUUAAGUAGAAUUUUCUGUUAAAUUUUCAUUUAAUUUGGAUACUUCUACACCGUUGAACUUAAAAAUGUGCCACAUCGGCCGUUAAAAUAGUCAUUUUUGAGACCUUUUGAUCGCUUGGUAAAUGAUGUCAAAAAAUUAUAAAAUUUGGUUUCUAAAUAAUUCCAAUAGAGUAGAUUAUAUUUAACGGAGCCGAUCGUCAAAUCGGAUUUUCUAUUAUCAAAAACAACUUACAAGCACGGAGGUCUCUGUACUUUCGAAAGUACGGGAGACUUACUAACUUACUAUAUAUAUAUAUAUAUAUAUAGUCCGGCUACUAUACUUUUAUGAGUAUUGACUCUUUUAUACUCAUAAGUUUUUGGCCCUUAAAUUUAUUCCACUGAUCAUUUCCAUCCGUUAGAUCAUACUAUUCAACCAACUACUCACUCAACCCUAGGGGACCACUAUUAUUUUAAGCGGGGACCAUCAUCGUCCUAACCAUACAUCCCAUCAAUCAACGGUUAAAAAUUUAUAAAUACAAGGGAGCCUAUACUCAUAAGAGUAUAGUAGCGCUAGCCUAUAUAUAUAUA